GAGGGUAUAGCUCAGUGGUAGAGUGUGUGCUUAGCAUGCACAAGGUCCUGGGUUCAAUCCCCAGUAUCUCCG
rnacentral:tRNA from 1 species